ACAACCGUGGUCCAGUGGCACGGAUGCCUCCUAACGGAGGCGACGCGGGUUCGAUUCCCGCCGGUUGUU